GAUGAACGCUGGCGGCGUGCCUAAUACAUGCAAGUCGAGCGAACAGACGAGGAGCUUGCUCCUCUGACGUUAGCGGCGGACGGGUGAGUAACACGUGGAUAACCUACCUAUAAGACUGGGAUAACUUCGGGAAACCGGAGCUAAUACCGGAUAAUAUAUUGAACCGCAUGGUUCAAUAGUGAAAGACGGUUUUGCUGUCACUUAUAGCUGGAUCCGCGCCGCAUUAGCUAGUUGGUAAGGUAACGGCUUACCAAGGCAACGAUGCGUAGCCGACCUGAGAGGGUGAUCGGCCACACCGGAAGUGAGACACGGUCCAGACUCCUACGGGAGGCAGCAGUAGGGAAUCUUCCGCAAUGGGCGAAAGCCUGACGGAGCAACGCCGCGUGAGUGAUGAAGGUCUUCGGAUCGUAAAACUCUGUUAUUAGGGAAGAACAAAUGUGUAAGUAACUAUGCACGUCUUGACGGUACCUAAUCAGAAAGCCACGGCUAACUACGUG
rnacentral:rRNA from 1 species